rnacentral:rRNA from 1 species
UGACCCUGUUAAACGGCCGCGGUACCCUAACCGCGCGAAGGUAGCAUAAUCACUUGUUCUUUAAAUGAGGACUUGUAUCAACGGCAUCACGAGGGUUCCACUGUCUCCUUUUUCUAAUCAGUGAAACUAAUCUCCCCGUGAAGAAGCGGGGAUAAGCCUAUAAGACGAGAAGACCCCAUGGAGCUUUAAAUCCAGCUACACCCCCCCCCCCCCAUACCCUAUCAGCAGCCAAGGCCCUGUAUGCUCAAUUUUAGGUUGGGGUGACCACGGAGCACAACAAAACCUCCAUGAUGAACGAAACUAUUUUCUUAUCUAAGAGCCACAUCUCUAAGAAUUAGUACACUAACAUAAAAUGAUCCGAUAAACGAUCAACGAACUAAGUUACCCUGGGGAUAACAGCGCAAUCCAUUUCAAGAGUCCCUAUCGACAAAUGGGUUUACGACCUCGAUGUUGGAUCAGGAUGUCCCAGUGGUGCAACA